rnacentral:lncRNA from 10 species
ACAAACUGGACAAGUACGACUCGGUGGAGGCCAUCAAGAUAAGGAGUUGGCAGCAUCAGCAGCAGCCAGGUGUGCACAGAAGGGUUUAAAUGGGUGAACGUGCUCAGCAAAGGGUAGCUGGUAGUCUUACUUGUGCCUCCACACAAGGCUGCAAGGGAACCUGAAGAGACAUGAAAGGCUGCGUUCAACCUCCCCUCUCACAGCUGUGGAUGAAGGGAAUUCUUCUGAACUAGGUA